rnacentral:piRNA from 1 species
UAGCCAGUGCUUCCUAGAUGCCAGCGCCAC